rnacentral:rRNA from 1 species
CGUGUAGGCGGCCGGUCAAGUCCGGUGUGAAAGCCCGAGGCUCAGCCUCGGAAGUGCACCGGAAACUAGCCGGCUCGAGCGCGAUAGAGGAGGGUGGAAUUCCUGGUGUAGCGGUGAAAUGCGUAGAUAUCAGGAGGAACACCGGCGGCGAAGGCGGCCCUCUGGAUCGUUGCUGACGCUGAGACGCGAAAGCGUGGGGAGCAAACAGGAUUAGAUACCCUGGUAGUCCACGCUGUAAACGAUGGGUACUAGGUGUUCGGGGUGUUGACCCCCUGAGUGCCGACGCUAACGCAUUAAGUACCCCGCCUGGGGGACCUACGGCCGCAAGGUUAAA